GUCAGGAUAGCCAAGCGGUCUUAGGAGCUGCGUUCAGGUCGCAGUCCACUACGGUGGGCGUGGGUUCCAAUCCCCCUUCUGACA
rnacentral:tRNA from 1 species